rnacentral:rRNA from 1 species
CAGUCGCCGCGGUAAUACGUAGGGUGCGAGCGUUAAUCGGAAUUACUGGGCGUAAAGCGUGCGCAGGCGGUUGUGUAAGACAGGUGUGAAAUCCCCGGGCUUAACCUGGGAACUGCGCUUGUGACUGCACAGCUAGAGUAUGGCAGAGGGGGGUGGAAUUCCGCGUGUAGCAGUGAAAUGCGUAGAUAUGCGGAGGAACACCGAUGGCGAAGGCAGCCCCCUGGGCCAACACUGACGCUCAUGCACGAAAGCGUGGGGAGCAAACAGGAUUAGAUACCCCCGUAGUCCCUGUCUCUUAUAC